rnacentral:lncRNA from 1 species
AAGAAAAUGUUUUCCUUAAAUAAUACUUGUAAGAUAUUUACUGGAAGAAAAAAGACAAAUUUAGGUGUUCAUUCAUUUGUUCAGUAAUUCAGCUUUAGCCUAGCACCCAUUUCCCAGGGUAGGUUUGGGAUAUUAAUAGGAUUUAAUUAGAAUUAGUUUUUCACUUUUUUCGAACACUAUUUUUAAGAAAUCACUUGGUCCUUUAUGAAUUCUCUAGAUAUUUUUCUGCCUCAUUUACUAAAAUAAAUAAAAUAGUUAAAUAGUUAUUCGGGUUUUUCCAAUCAAGAUGCUGCUUCUUACGUAUCCUUUCUUUUUAUUUUCUUUUCUCUAAUAUCUUUUGGAGGACUGUGAUAUGAAAGAAAGAUCAUCGGACUACAAGGUAAAGGAUAAAUCUGAGACACAGAUUUGCUCUUUUCUAACUGGGUGACCUUUUGAGCAAGUUAUUUCACUUCUCUGGCCUAAGUAAAAAUGGGAUAUUGGAUAAGAUGUUUCCAGAAAUCCCUUACUUCUAAGGUUCUAUGAUCUCCACUGGAGAUGGGCUAAAUUUUCCUACUACUCCCCUGGUCAAAAACCUAAAAUGAUUCUCUGCAGUCUACUAUAUCAAACAAUAAACUGCUAUACCAGCUCACCACAAUUAGUCCUCACCCAGGCCUCUGUCCAUGACUUACUUUUAAUGUGCUUCCUCUAUCUCAGGUAUGUGGCACGCGCCAUCCUCUAGCCAGAUGUGACACUUUCUCAUGCCACUGCUCUCCUAGGUCAUGCAGGUAUGCCUCUCACUCACUCCAACCAAACCUCGCCCUCCUGGCCUGCAGAGGUACAUCUCCUUGAGACCUCCUCAGACCACCUUGGCCCACCUUGACUUUCUCAGAUUCUAAGUGGCUCAGUGAAAUUAAGGAGAAGAUGGAUUUAUUUAAAAAUAGAGUUAAGAGGAGAUGAUAACAAGAGAAGAAAUGAAAAGGAAGCUGGCAGAACCAAGAAAAGAUGUUAAGGAGAAAAAUAAAACCAUUGCGCAACUGAAGACCGCAUGUAGGCACUGCUUGAGAAAAACACACUAUGUAGAGGGAAAGGACAUGAAAUGAAAGUGAUUAGAGAGAAGAGGAGAGAUGUAGGGGACAGACAACUUCAGCAAGCUCACAUCAGGAUGUUAUCCAUUCAGUCAUGCAUCCAUUUGGUAUUCAUUCAGCAACUGCUAAAUGUUAGGUCCUAUGUCAGGAAUCAAGGAUGCAAAGUACCCCCAAGAAGCUCAGAAGGAGUAGAAGGAUGUUACCAGAUGCUGGGAAGGGUACUGGGGUAGGGGGCGGUGAGGUGGGGAUGGUUAAUGGGUACAAAAAACAGGAAGAAUGAGUAAGAUCAACUAUUUGAUAGCACAACAGGGUGACUACAGCCAAUAAUAACUUAAAUGUGCCUUUAAAAAUAACUAAGAGUAUAAUUGGAUUGUUUGUAACGCAAUUAUAAAAGCUUGAGGGGAUGGAUUCCCCAUUCUCCAUGACGUGAUUAUUAAACAUUGCAUGCCUGUAUCAAGAUAUCUCAUGUACCCCAUAAAUAUGUGUACCUAAUAGGCACCCACAAAAAUUAAAAAUUAAAAAAUUUUAAAAGGGAAGCUGAGAAGAAGUAGAGAAAGCAACCACUAACAAGCAGAGCACAGCCUGUUCAAUCUCUAAUAGAGGUGUGCUCCGCAAAACCCCAGGGAAUAGAGAAGACAGAGUACAAAUCUGUCUAGGGUAGGGACUGUACUUGUUUGCUGUGGCCGUUGUACCAAAUUACCACAAAACAUGGUGGCUUAACAUAACACAAUUUAUUCUCUCACAGUUCUGGAGGCUAGAAGUCCAAAUUCAACUUUAUUGGGCUGAAAUCAAAGAGUCAGGAGGAUACCUGUGAUGGCAUUUAGGCCCACCUGGGUGAGCCAGGACACUCUCUCCAUCUCAAGAUCCUUACUUGAAUCACAUCUGCAAAGCCCUCUUUCUGCCAGGCAAGAAGCAGGAUUGCAGGCCACCUUUUGCAGGCCCAGCCCAGGUUUGGAACAAGGCUUCCUCUGCAAAAGCUGGAUGCUGUGAGCUCUGUCAGCUGCAAUGCUCUACCCCACACCUGCCUGGGUUUCCGGAGUGCAUACUCUAUUUGGGAGCAAUGCCUGCCUUGAACUCCAACAGUAUUUUGUCAGCAUCUUUCCCCAAAGACUAAACUCUACAGCCUAUAUCAAGUAUCAGCCACUGGAGAAAGCCGAGAAAUGGAGAAAUUGAGAAACUUGGCAACACAUCCAGUAAAGAGCUGAAGCUUUUAUAACAGCACAAUACAGGAACAAAAAGGAUAGCUUUGGGGAAUGCCAGCCUUUCCAAGGUCUUCAGUCAACUGAUGAGACCCACCCACAUUAGGGAGCAUAGUCUGCUGUACUCAGUCUACCAAUUCAGCUAUGAAGCUCCUCCAGAAACUCCCGCACAGCCACAUCCCAAAUAAUGUUUGGCCAAAUGUCUGGGUACCCUGUGGCCCGGUCAAGUGGACACAUGAAAGUCACCAUCACAGUGGGGUCCUCAAGGAAAGGAAUGAAAGAGACAAUCCAGCUUUGCAUUUAGCACUGAUGCAAUGGCCUGUGAAACCAGACGUGACAAACGUGGCAAGUAGAAGUGUCACAGACAUAAAUUUGAGCAUUUCUCAGAUUUUUCUUUGCCUGGAGUUUGAUCUCAAUAGUCAUUCAAUUUGUCCCUUAGGACAAAUUUAUUUUCUCUCUUUCUUCUCUCCUCAUUCUCCUCCAUCACCAUUAUCAUCAUCAUUGUCACUGUCAUAAUCAACAUCCAAAGUGUAUGGAGUGCCUGCACUCACGUGGCUCUGUACCAAGAAGGAAUUUGGAAUUCAUGGAGGAA